rnacentral:tRNA from 1 species
AAGGGAGACCUAAUUCAGGUAGGAGACGAAAAAAAAGUAGUCCCAACCAAGAAUCAAUCCCAAAAGGUCGGAGCGAGGCGAAAUUGGCUUUCAAACUAGGUUCUGGGUUCACACAAGACCUGAAUCAGGAACAAGGGCUAUUAGCUCAGGUGGUUAGAGCGCACCCCUGAUAAGGGUGAGGUCCCUGGUUCGAGUCCAGGAUGGCCCACCUGCACAGGUGGCAAAAACAAGAGAAGCGAGGAAUCAGCACCUUAUCUUAUCUAUAUAUAUAUAGGAGAGAAUGCUGGCUCUGAGUAAAGAGUCCAGAGGAACCUUGAAAACUGCAUAGAGCUAGGUGAAAAAGCCAAAAAAGUAGACCGCAA